CUGCUGGCUGCAGCUUUGAUCAUUAUUAUUUUAGAUGACUUAAGACCUGAGAAGUCCCAUUGGACUUGUUCAUCUCAGUAAAGAGUUAAAAUUCUCCUAGCCAUUUUAGGUGGGGUCGUGCAAGAGAAAAGCAAAGAGGAAAUCCAAUUCUUCAAACUAAGAGUGAAAACAAACUGAAGGGAAAUUAAAACCCCCAAACCCCUCCAAAAGGUGGGAAAAGAAACAAAAGCCCCUCCUCACAAAUUGGUAGUCGCUACAUGAUGCUGCUAUUGAUAGAUUGGAUUUAAUCGAUAACUCCAUCAAUGCAUACAUUAAUACUGCAAUGAUUAGUAUAACAUUAAAAAAAAACAGUUUCUGGUCGGGUAGAUACAAAAAAGAAACUCAAAUAUAGUUUGCUAUAACCCUCUCUGUUCUUAAAAGAGAAUGCAGAGAUCCGAAAAAUUUCCAGAGACAAACAAGGCAACAAAUGCUUUCCCCUGCAGUUACUCAUAUAUUCCAAUCAACUAACUCAAUUCUUUAAUAAUUAGUGAAUCCGGACUGUUCUGACGAUUCAGUAGAACAUAAAAAAACUAAGCAUCGAUAUUUUAUUUGGAGGAAGGAAAUGAAAGGCAGAUAAUGCUAACUCGGCACAGAUGUCCAACAAGUUAUAUAAAAAAUAACUGAAAAAUAAUAUGAGUUUAAAAAAAGAAAUCCGGGCCCCAUCCAAGCCCCUGGAAUUUAAUGGGAGUCUCCCUUUUUAUUUCCACAAGCUCAGAAUCAGGCCCUUUGUUUCUGCAGGAAACAGGCUUCAACUUUUAACUCCCAAAGUUUUCCUUCUGGGAUCAAAAUGUUUUCCACUUCUGACAUUUAGUAGCAUGGACCUGUGAGGUUUUGGGCAGAGCUGGAAUAGAGAAAAAGAACGCUAAUAAGUAAUCUGAAUUAAGGACUGCCUUUGAUUUAUUCACUUUUUCUGGCAAGGCCACCGUUUGUUAUUAGAGACUUGAACCAUCUCAGCAUUUUUCUUAUCAGGAAUAUAUCUUCUGGGGUUACUGAGGUUUUUGACAUUUUCUUUUAACCUCAUCAAGUGGAAGUUGAGAUACAUGCUUAAAAAAAAAACAAAACAGCCAAUUUUAGCACCACUUACUUGAAUACGUGAGGAGCUUUGCACUCACCAGUCACAUAUUUCAUAUUUUCGAAUGUAACAAAUGGACAAGUUCAAAAAUACAUUUAUGUAUGUGUAAGCAUGCAUGCAUUCAUGUAGGUGCAUAUAGAUGUAUCUAGGUCUGUCUUUUAAGUAUUUAUGCAUUUCUUAUGUCUUUUAGGAUACCUCUACACAUUUUAUAAAUAGGAGAGCAGGCACAGAAUAGGGAGGAUGAAAUCUGGGUUUGCAUUUGAAGGUGUUGGAGUUUGUACUUCUCAAGCAGGGGUACAUAAUGCUCCCAGGGGUAUGUGUUCAUCUUCUAGAGCGUACGUGAGAGGAAGGCAUAGGAAAGCAAAAGAAAGAAAAGGGAUAAGCUAAAGGGAGAAUAAAGAAAAUCUUGAAGAGCAACUCUUCAAUAUUUCUUAGGUGGUCGGAAAGGUAACAGUGUGGCUGAAGGGACAUGAAAUAUUACUUCUUUAUUAUCCGUCACAUGAAAAAUCUGAAGGGCACAGACAAAUUAAUUUAACUAGCCUCAAAAGAGAUACCCCCCCACCCCCAAAAAAAAGGUUAAGAACCACUGUUGCAGAUCAAUAGCAUACGGUCAUUGCAAACUUCUCUCGCUGCAUGUGAGCCACUACGUUUUUCUACAAGCUUGUCUCACACACAUACACACAUACAUAAUCACAGACUUUGGUCUGUAAUUGGUUAAAAAUUGAUUGGGGGUGGAAAGGGAGGAGGAUAAUUAUCUGCGACUGGCUGGAUGCCUACUAGAAUCUAGGUCUGAAGUUUAUCCCCUUUUUUUUCAUACCAAAGAUCAUGUACAUAGGGCACAACAUUGUGAUGUUCGGUGGCACGGAGUGGGGAGCAAUCAGAAGCCUUGCAUAUUAGUUUGUAUAUAUAGAUAAUAUUUAUUACGCCAGAUAGUAAGUGUUUGCAGGAUCAGACAGGCAGACAGACAGACAGGAAAAAAAAGUGGCAACAAUCCUCCUCCCACACUUAUGCUGAGAAAAUCAUUUCUGACACAGAAGUUCUCACCGUCGCUCUCCUGGUAAGGGUGGGAAGGUGAAUUUGUCAAUAAUGACAAUUGCACAAGAAUAUGUCUAUAAUAUCUCUGUUUCGCUCAGCAUGAUGAUCCCGUCGCCAGAUGUGAGCCAGCCCUGUUAUGUGACCCAGUUCUGGGUACCUGGAGUCCUUAAGUAAUGGCAUUGAAAAUAUCCUUUGUGUGUUUCAAUGGCACCAAGACUAUCCUUUGGAUUGAAAAUAGCAAUCCCAAACCUGCACGAUCUCAUUUUAAGUGCCCCCCACCUUGACAUGUGAAAAUAUAGGGGCGCCUGUGUGUGUCUGGGUGUAUUGCACGUGUGAAACCAGUAACACCGCUCCAGAGUUGCUUGUAUUUGGGUGCCUGAGUGAAUAUCACCUCCAGUGUGGAAGUCAAGGGAGAUUCUUAGCCACUGAUCUAUCUGUCCGUCCACCUUUCCCUCUGUCUAGCCAUCCAUCCCUUCUUCCAGCUGGAAGGGCAGCCUCUCCAGCGUGCACCCAGCAGCUGCGUCCCAGGGAACAGGGGGAUGCUGGUUGGCAUCUCACACUGUUGACAGGUUUCUGCAGGAAGGAGGACUUAAACCAGAAGCACUCUCCACCGUGGGCCCACGAAUGGAAAAGUACCCGUGCCAUCCCAAUGCACAUUCUUGGGCUCUGAGUGAGACGACGCAGGCUGCCUUCAGAGCUGGUUCAGUGCGGUCAGGUGUACCGAGGGCGGUAUAAGAGCCAGGCCCCGGCAUGCCAAUCAAGUUUUUCCACUUCCAGCCCUUUCACCAGAGGUAAGGACCCAGCCAGAUCACAAACAUUCCAAUUAAAGUUCAAAAUAAUAAUGAUAAUGAACAUAACAAUAGCCCCCGCCUUCCUCACUGGAGCUAACAAGCAUUUGGGUCUUCCUCCCUUGUUCUUCUCUAAGCCCAGCUGCCUCUUCUCCUGGCACCGAAGGGAAAAUAUUGUUCUGUAUGCAAGGACCUGAAAAGAAAAAGCAGCAGCAAUGGGGGGGCCAUUUAUUUAGCUCCUGGAAGCUGGUUGCAAGGUAAAGCUUCUGGGAGCAGGAAGGCUGCUUUGUGGCCUGCCCUUUGCAAUAAAAAAAAUACAGAGAUUUCAAAUAUUUAAGAGACUCAAGUAAAACUAGCGUGGGAUGAAAGCAGGGUGUUGAGGCUGCUUGCUCGGUGAAGUUCAAUCAUGACACGUCUGUUCGCUAAGGAUCUCAGCUCCGGGCCAUCACCUUUAGCCCUUUAAGAGUGCUAGCUUAUAAUCUACCUCCAACUUCUAGCCUCGGUGCAAAAAGAGGGACGAACUAGGAGGAACAGGCACGCAUGCACAGACAGCAGGCAAAUGCAAAGUGGUAAACUAAACUACUUUGUUAUGAUGAUGCAAAAAAAAAAAAAAAUGAAGUCGCGAUCAUGUGAUUUUAUGCAAAUCGAGUGAAUGGACGGUUAAAAACUAAAUGUCAGGUAGAUAAGAUCACAUACACCUAGAGCAGCGUCAUGAUAUUCUCUGCACGUUACAUUCAUACUGGAAACCAAACCGUGUUACAGAAAUCAGACACCCACAAAAGGGCUCAGAGAUUGCACUGAAAACAGGUUUCUGCAAAGCACCAGCCUCUGACAAAAAAAAAAGUAGGUUAGAUGAGAAAACAAGAUAGCGCGAGCGAGCCAGGGAAUACACUGUCCCUGAGCAGUGUGCAAUCCCACCGUAUUAUAUAAGUUUACAUGCACAAAACUGCCUUGAAAUAACAUUUAUGAUCCAGCCCAAAGCUCUUAAAAAGGCAGGUGUUCCAGGGUUUGGCUGAUAAUCCAUCUUGAACUGCUGGGAGCAAGGAGUCGUAUAGGAAACGUCUUUUCUUAAAGGAACAUUUGUUUCAGGGGGGAGAACAGAAUUCCCUGUGCUGACGGGGCUAUUAGACUUCAUGAUCUCAAUCUACGUUCAGGACCACGGGAGAUGCAAAGGUCCCGACCUGCUGUCCUCUACACUUGCUUCAAACCUCGCUCUUAUUGAUCCAAGACAUUGUGAAAGGAGCUGUGCCGGCCUGUCACAUACACUGAAUACUAGGAUAUGGCGCUGCAGAAUUUGGGCUUCUGUGUCACACACAGAUAUGGAGAAGGAUAUAGCGAGGGCGGCUCUACAUGGAGAGCAAAGGGAGGCGAGGUCUGACAGCCAGGGCCCAGACUGGGGAGCAGAUGCACGUGCAAAGCAGGUCCACGUCCACUGCCUAGCUGCUUGCAUUUUUCUACCCUGUCAACCCUCCCAUUGCAAGGAGCACUUUCCUUUUAAAAAUGAAGCCAGUUUCUGAGCUAAAAGGAGCAACGCAACCUAUUCUACCGCAGCACAACUUUCUCGCCUUCUCGCAGGCUGCGACUAGAAACCCGGCCUGGGAUUUUCAUAUUGCCUGCAGAGCCAGGGCAUGGAAGGCCUUGUUUUACUCUGCAGUGCCUCCCCGGCCAACGUAGGCGUUGCAAGAAUGGGCUCUGAAGGGAAUUUCAUGUUGCCCUUCCUAUGCUGGAUAUUAUAGUCCCUGUAUAUCCUCACGAGUCCCAGUUCAGUGUAUGGAGAGGAAGCUCCAGUGGUGAUGAACAGAGGUUUAGGUGCAUAAGAACCACGUGUUCAAGGCAUAGCAGCUGGGCGAGGGUGAAGUGAAAGCAUGGAAAAGCACAGGAUCGCAUAGAGAGGAGGAAGAUCAUACAGGCACCCCAAGGGGGAAAAAAAUAAUGGAUAUAAUCUACCCAGUGCUUCCAGGCUUGGCACCUGAACACCAGUUCCCAGCCCAAAGUGAAUGCUCAGGGCUGAUUUAUAAGUCCCUGUAAACAGGGGGUUUAUAAUGGAAACUCUGAUGCAACCCUAACAUUUGGCAGUGUAAAGGCAUACCAAGAUCUCUGCUCUGCGAGGUGCCAAUUUUAACAGCCGUCCUGAUAAAUCAUCAAUCGGACAAAAAAAUCUUCUCCGCUUCCCAACUUUCUGCAAACAUUGCCUUCAGCCGCUCAAUUGAUGCAGCCACCGUAGAAGACUCAGGCUGUCCAAAGGGGGGAGCAGGGAGGGGAUCUUUAAAAAAAUGAAUUAAUAAAGGCACGCUAAAAAAAUAAAAGCUAGCUUGGCAUUAUACUUCUUGUAUUAUUUGUUACUGAGUCCGCUUAUAUGACACCAAUAAUUUUGCUAAAGUGGAUAAACAAGCUUUCUAUGUCCCCGAGAGCUUAGAGUCUAAUAAGUAAAAGCUAUGCUCACUCUGAAUUAUAUAUAUUACUUUCCAGCUACAAAGGGAAAUGUCUUUAAAGCUCGUCUGCAUCAUCUCAAGUAUCAUCUUAGCCUGAUUCCUACUCCUUACUGGGCUAUUUUUAAUGACAGAUGCGGGCUAUCGGUUACAAGGCUUUCCUCCUAUUUUGUUUUAAGACAGUGCUGAGUAUUUCAGUCUGGGCACUUUGCUGAGAAAUUUAAAAAAAAAAAAAAAAACAACCCUCAGGAAAUGUUCAAUAACUUUGCAUUUAGGCUGCAGAUUUCUUGGAAUUCUUGGUAAUUUAAUCAGUCGCUCUAAGCAAUUUGAUUAGCCGGAGCUAGGGCACGGUGACCCCGCGGUGGUGAUUCUUGUAAACUAAUUUCUAUUAAUUGGAAUAAACCUGAAAUGCUAUCGGAGGCACAAGCCUUCCCCCCCACCCCUAUCCUCUCUGUCAUGCAGAAGAGGAAUUUGAAAUCCUUUUACCCCCCGGCCAUUCAGGCGGGGGGGAAAAAUAAUAAUAAUACAUGCAAAUUGAAACAGAAAUCUGCUGAGAUCUUUUAAAACACACCCACCCGAGCCAGGCCUGAGUGAAUACGCGGCACAAGUAAAUAUGCAAUUCAUUUGCUUUUUUAACACAGAUAUUUACAUAAAUGGUCAUUAGAAUAACACUUUGUCACUCUCCCUCCCUCCUCCCCCUGCCACACACCCGCAAAUCUAUUUGUAAGACCGUCUUUACAUUUUCCCUGCUGCCUGAAGCUUCCUCCAAUGGCCAAAGCAGGCCUUUGCAGCUCCCUCCCAAGAGCUCUGAACUAAACAUGGGCUCCAGCGACUCAAAAUCAGAAGUCUCCUACUUACAAGGAAAAUCAAACAUCUAUUUUGCAUACAAUCAUAGAUAAGACAUACUGUACAUCGCAGCUAUGGCACGACAGACGCUUUACCAUGUCCUUUGCAACCAGACAGCAGCUACAAAGAAUUAACCCACCACUUAAAAAGAGUCCCGGAAAGGGAGAAAGAGCACAAAAAAAAAAAAAAAAAAAAAGAAAAAGAAAAUAUAAUCCUCCGAGUGUGGGGGUUUGGUUUUUUUUCCAAGAGCAAGUAUAUUCCUCCCAUUAAAAAGCAAUGCCCAAAAAGGGGGGGGAAAAAUAAACCGUAUCUAUCAAGAAAAAAACCCAAAACAGCUUCUUUCCUCCUCAACAACAAAUCCCUUUAAGCAUGAGAGCCAGCCAGAGAUAGAAAUACAUACAUUAAAAAAAAAAAA